GACGAACGCUGGCGGCGUGCUUAACACAUGCAAGUCGAACGGAAAGGCCCCUUUGGGGGUACUCGUGUGGCGAACGGGCGAGUAACACGUGAGUAACCUGCCCUUGACUUCGGGAUAACUUCAGGCAACUGGGGCUAAUACCGGAUAGGACUCCUUGCUGCAUGGUGGGGGUUGGAAAGCUUCGGCGGUUUUGGCUGGACUCGCGGCCUAUCAGCUUGUCGGUGGGGUAGUGGCUCACCACGGCUUUGCCGGGUAGCCGGCCUGAGCGGGCGACCGGCCACAUUGGGACUGAGAGACGGCCCAGACGCCUACGGGAGGCAGCAGGGGGGAAGAUUGCAGAAGGGGCGGAAGCCUGAUGCAGCAACGCCGCGGGCGGGAUGACGGCCUUCGGGUUGUGAACCGCUUUCAGCAGGGGCGAAGCUUGUGGUGACGGUACCUGCAGAAGAAGCACCGGCUAACUACGUG
rnacentral:rRNA from 1 species